GUUCCAACCCUUUGACCUUUAAUCAAAAGGAACAUAGAGAGCUGCUGGGAACAUUGAAAAGAAGGGUUGAAAGAACAAAAUCGCAGGAGAAGAGAAGGGUUUGAAUCGUCUCAUCGCAGAGAGAUAGAGAGUUGAAGGAGCAAAGCGAAGAAGGUAUGUAUGUAUUGAAAUUGAUAGUGUUCCCGACUAGGGAUGGGGGGAUUGAUGUUCGAUCGUGAUUACUGAUUUGAAGAUCACAAACUUCUAAUUUUGGAAUUAUUCUUCACUCUUCCUUCUCAAGCACAAUGACACAUAUUCUGCCACUAAAGUUGAAGGAGAGGCGCUGGUCAUCAAGUCAAAUGAUAGUAAUGGGCUUCUAACAUGCUGCAUCUGUCUUGGCAGCAUUUUCGGUCCUGGUGAUGAAUUACUUGUUCCAUCAUUGGUAUUUGCUGCGAGGGCAGGGAAAUCGAAGGUCACCCAGUUUUUUGUCCAUUUAAUUUCUCAUGUUGUGACUGCCUUACAUAUUGGUUUUAUAAUGUUCUAGAAAUUCAGGUGUUUCAUUCAAAUCAAGUUGGUGGAUAGCGAGGUUCUUAAUCAUUUGAAUCCAUAUAAUUAAUAAAUGGCAUAACGUAGGUGUUCUUGCACUUAGGGCAUUGAAAAUUGAGUAUUUGUGCUGCAUACAUUCUCUCUUUCUGUAAAACACUAAACCAGUUACUAACUAAAAACAUUUGUAUUUCAUAUGUUUUGUGAUCUUUUCAAUUUU